AGCGAACGCUGGCGGCAUGCCUAACACAUGCAAGUCGCACGGGGGGGCUUCGGCCUCCCAGUGGCGGACGGGUGAGGAACGCGUAGGGACCUGUCGAGGGGUGGGGGAUAACCGCGGGAAACUGCGGCUAAUACCGCAUGACGCCGCGGCGUGACAGCCGGGGCCAAAGGCGAAAGCCGCCCGCCGAGGGGCCUGCGUCCGAUUAGCUGGUUGGCGGGGUAGCGGCCCACCAAGGCGUCGAUCGGUAGCUGGUCUGAGAGGGUGAUCAGCCACACCGGGACUGAGACACGGCCCGGACUCCUACGGGAGGCAGCAGUGGGGAAUAUUGGACAAUGGGCGCAAGCCUGAUCCAGCAAUGCCGCGUGGGUGAAGAAGGUCUUCGGAUUGUAAAGCCCUUUCGGCGGGGACGAUGGUGACGGUACCCGCAGAAGAAGCCCCGGUUAACUUCGUG
rnacentral:rRNA from 1 species